UAAGAGCUUUUACUUUUCUGUUAGUUACAGGUUUAUAUAUAUGUGUAGAGAUUUUAUUUUAAGUGUUUUUAAAGAGUUAUUUUUGUAUAUAUGUCAAAUUGUGAUUUACAAGAAAUAAAAAUACCUUCUUUAAAAAAAAGAGGAAAGUAGUGUUUUUUUUUUUUUUGGGGGUGAGUUUGUAGCACAUAUUCUCUAUAGUAUCCACCCCUUUACAUUUAAUUUGUCUUUAUGAUGCAGGCUUGUUGACUAGUCAACUAAAUAGAAAACAAAAACUAGACCUAUCUUGUUUUUUUUUAUCUUUUAGGCAAGUACACACUA
rnacentral:lncRNA from 1 species